GACGAACGCUGGCGGCGUGCUUAACACAUGCAAGUCGAGCGGUAAGGCCCCUUCGGGGGUACACGAGCGGCGAACGGGUGAGUAACACGUGAGCAAUCUGCCCAUCACAUCGGGAUAACUCCGGGAAACCGGAGCUAAUACCGGAUACGACCACUUCAGGCAUCUGACGGUGGUGGAAAGUUCCGGCGGUGAUGGAUGAGCUCGCGGCCUAUCAGCUUGUUGGUGGGGUAAUGGCCUACCAAGGCUUCGACGGGUAGCCGGCCUGAGAGGGUGACCGGCCACACUGGGACUGAGACACGGCCCAGACUCCUACGGGAGGCAGCAGUGGGGAAUAUUGGACAAUGGGCGAAAGCCUGAUCCAGCAACGCCGCGUGAGGGAUGACGGCCUUCGGGUUGUAAACCUCUUUCAGCAGGGACGAAGCGCAAGUGACGGUACCUGCAGAAGAAGCACCGGCCAACUACGUGCCAGCCGCCGCCGUAAUAC
rnacentral:rRNA from 1 species